UCCCCCCCCCCCCUCUUUGUCCACCCCUCUGCAUGUGUGUACACGUCUGCAUUGCUAUUGUAAAUACCCUUCUAAUACCCGGAAGUGAAUUGUGAAUUUCCCAUGAUUGUAACCAUUGAUUUCUAGACCUGAUUGUUUGGCUGAGCUUGCCCCUUCCUCCUAAUGCACACCCUUAUAGAAUUGUUUGUAUUACUUAGAUUUGACUGAAGAGUUCUGAAGGAAGGGGAAUCAUUCUCCCUAACCUAGUUUUUUGUUUGAAAUGUUGGUUGUUUUAUUUUUCAUUCAAUGCAUAAUGACUCAUUUCUUCUACACUUUGCCAUAAGCAUCCAUUGUUUUAGUUACUAUUCUAAUAUAUAUUCUUUACAU